GCCUAGGAAUCUGCCUGGUAGUGGGGGACGAACGUUUCGAAAGGAACGCUAAUACCGCAUACGUCCUACGGGAGAAAGCAGGGACCUUCGGGCCUUGCGCUAUCAGAUGAGCCUAGGUCGGAUUAGCUAGUUGGUGAGGUAAUGGCUCACCAAGGCGACGAUCCGUAACUGGUCUGAGAGGAUGAUCAGUCACACUGGAACUGAGACACGGUCCAGACUCCUACGGGAGGCAGCAGCA
rnacentral:rRNA from 1 species